rnacentral:rRNA from 1 species
ACUCAAAGGAAUUGACGGGGGCCCGCACAAGCGGUGGAGCAUGUGGUUCAAUUCGACGCAACGCGAAGAACCUUACCUGGGCUCGAACGGCUUCUCAACGGUCGUGGAAACACGGCUAUCCCGCAAGGGAGUGGAGUCGAGGUGCUGCAUGGCUGUCGUCAGCUCGUGUCGUGAGAUGUUGGGUUAAGUCCCGCAACGAGCGCAACCCUUGUCCUGUGUUGCCAGCCCGAAAGGGGGAACUCUCAGGAGACCGCCAGCGAUAAGCUGGAGGAAGGUGGGGAUGACGUCAAGUCCUCAUGGCCUUUAUGUCCAGGGCUACACACGUGCUACAAUGGCUGGUACAAAGCGCUGCCAAGUCGCGAGACGGAGCUAAUCGCAAAAAGCCGGUCUCAGUUCGGAUUGCAGGCUGCAACUCGCCUGCAUGAAGCUGGAAUCGCUAGUAAUGGCGCAUCAGAACGGCGCCGUGAAUACGUUCCCGGGCCUUGUACACACCGCCCGU